rnacentral:lncRNA from 1 species
AAACACCUCAUGAAAAUGUUUAAGCAAAACGUUUUUCAACCAAGUGAAGAUGUGUUUUCUAUUGGAAAUUCUCGGAUUCAAAACGUUUUCAUGAUGAGCAUAGACAAUCAACCCAUGAUCCUUACAGUGCUUUUGGUUUGGACAGGAGGUUGACUGAGGAAACACCUUUGGUUCGUUGAGGAUCGGUUUUGGCUCAGGCCGCUUCUUUCUUGGGCCUGAAUCUCCUUUAGAAGUCUGGUAGUCGCGGAUAGACG